rnacentral:rRNA from 1 species
GAUGAACGCUGGCGGCGUGCCUAACACAUGCAAGUCGAACGGAGUUAUUAUUAUGAAGUUUUCGGAUGGAUUAAUAAUAACUUAGUGGCGGACGGGUGGGUAACGCGUGGGUAACCUGCCUCAUACAGGGGGAUAACAGUUGGAAACGACUGCUAAAACCGCAUAACAUUGCGACGUCGCAUGACGAUGCAAUUAAAUAUUUAUAGGUAUGAGAUGGGCCCGCGUCUGAUUAGCUAGUUGGUGAGGUAAUGGCUCACCAAGGCGACGAUCAGUAGCCGGCUUGAGAGAGUGACCGGCCACAUUGGGACUGAGACACGGCCCAAACUCCUACGGGAGGCAGCAGUGGGGAAUAUUGCACAAUGGGGGAAACCCUGAUGCAGCGACGCCGCGUGAGUGAAGAAGUAUUUCGGUAUGUAAAGCUCUAUCAGCAGGGAAGAAAUUGACGGUACCUGACUAAGAAGCCCCGGCUAACUACGUGCCAGCCGCCGCCGUAA